UUCAACUUGAGAGUUUGAUCCUGGCUCAGAGCGAACGCUGGCGGCAGGCUUAACACAUGCAAGUCGAGCGGGCAUCCUUGUGGUGUCAGCGGC
rnacentral:rRNA from 1 species